AAUAUUAAUUAGGGGUGCUCUUUAUAGAGCUGAGAUUAUACCCUUUGAACCUGUUGGUUAGCACCAGCGUAGGGAAACAGUAUUACUUAUAA
rnacentral:ncRNA from 1 species